rnacentral:tRNA from 20 species
CGGGGUGGAGCAGCCUGGUAGCUCGUCGGGCUCAUAACCCGAAGGUCGUCGGUUCAAAUCCGGCCCCCGCAACCA